rnacentral:lncRNA from 1 species
UCUCCAUUCGUGAAAAAGCCAGGCACCUCGAGAGGCCAUGUGUAGACAGAUGUUCUCUCAUGGUUGACAGCUUCAGUUAAGCUACCGGCCAAUGCCAGCAGCUGACAUAUUCCCUGCUGCUAGGCGCCAUGCCCUUCAGCCCGUUGUUGGGUCUCGUUCUGUUCUCUGAUUCAUGGAUGGGCUGCGACACCUUCACCUCGGCCAGGUCUCGCCUGGGUCCCGAAGAUGCACACAUCCAGAGAAUGACAGAGAGCCAUUUUUCCAGGCCAAGCCUAACUUGUGUUUCCAUAACACUGUGGGAAGCUGCAAAUGCAAGCCACACAGGCCUGUCCCCACCCCUGAACAAAAAGCCCUCUGCUUCCAGAGAUACCGUCCCUAAAUCACCUUUCAUCCAUUGAAGACUCAUCUUAAAAACUAAGGAAAGAAAAUACUGAAGAGAUGGAUUUUCAUCCCAGUUAUCAAGGUUAUCAAGGAG